GUCUGAAUGGUGGAAUAGGUAGACACGACAGGUUUAAGCCCUGUUGCCCUAAAGGCGUGAGGGUUCAAGUCCCUCUUCAGAUACA
rnacentral:tRNA from 1 species